rnacentral:rRNA from 1 species
UUUAAAUGUAAAAUAAAUAUACUAAAGUAGUAUUAGUUAUGUUCUUGAAAUUUAAAGAUUUUGGCGGUAUUUUAGUCUAUUUAGAGGAGCCUGUUCUAUAAUUGAUAAUCCACGAUUAAUUUUACUUAAUUUAUAUAAAUUUGUAUACCGUCGUUAUAAGAAGAUUUUAAAAGAAAAUAAAUUUUUAAUAGUUUAUAUAAAAAAAUAUAUCAGAUCAAGGUGCAGUUUAUAGUUAAGAAGAAAUGGGCUACAAUAAAUUUAUUUAUAUGAAUUAAAGUGAGAAUUUAACUUUAUGAAAGUGGAUUUAAUAGUAAUAAAAUUAAUUUUAAUUUUAUGAUUUUAGCUCUAAAAUAUG